UACAGAGGUCUCAAGCGUUGUUCGGAUUCAUUGGGCGUAAAGGGUGCGUAGGCGGCGCGGUAAGUCGGGUGUGAAAUCUCGGGGCUUAACUCCGAAACUGCAUUCGAUACUGCCGUGCUUUGAGGACUGGGAGAGGAGACUGGAAUUUACGGGUGUAGCGGUGAAAAUGCGUAGAUAUCGUAAGGAAGACCAGUGGCGAAGGCGGGGUCUCUGGACAGUUCCUGA
rnacentral:rRNA from 1 species